rnacentral:rRNA from 1 species
AUAGAGAAUAGUUAGUGGCAGACGGGUGAGUAAUGCAUAGGAAUCUACCUAAUAGUAUGGGAUAGCCACUAGAAAUGGUGGGUAAUACUGUAUAAUCCCUGCGGGGGAAAGAUUUAUCGCUAUUAGAUGAGCCUAUGUUAGAUUAGCUAGUUGGUAGGGUAAAGGCCUACCAAGGCGAUGAUCUAUAGCUGGUCUGAGAGGAUGAUCAGCCACACUGGAACUGAGAUACGGUCCAGACUCCUACGGGAGGCAGCAGUGGGGAAUAUUGGACAAUGGGCGCAAGCCUGAUCCAGCUAUGCCGCGUGAGUGAGGAAGGCCUUAGGGUUGUAAAACUCUUUCAGUAGGGAAGAUAAUGACGGUACCUACAGAAGAAGUCCCGGCAAACUCCGUGCCAGCAGCCGCGGUAAUACGGAGGGGGCAAGCGUUGUUCGGAAUUAUUGGGCGUAAAGGGCAUGUAGGCGGUUCGGUAAGUUAAAGGUGAAAUGCCAGGGCUUAAC